UACGUAGGGUGCAAGCGUUGUCCGGAAUUAUUGGGCGUAAAGAGCUCGUAGGCGGCUUGUCGCGUCGGCUGUGAAAACCUGGGGCUCAACCCCGGGCCUGCAGCCGAUACGGGCAAACUAGAAUUCGGUAGGGGAGACUGGAGUUCCUGGUGUAGCGGUGAAAUGCGCAGAUAUCAGGAGGAACACCGGUGGCGAAGGCGGGUCUCUGGGCCGAUAUUGACGCUGAGGAGCGAAAGCGUGGGGAGCAAACAGG
rnacentral:rRNA from 1 species